CCUACGGGAGGCAGCAGUGAGGAAUAUUGGUCAAUGGCCGGAAGGCUGAACCAGCCAAGCCGCGUGAAGGAAGAAGGUGCUAUGGUUUGUAAACUUCUUUUGUAGGGGAAUAAAGGUAGCCACGUGAGGAUAAUUGCAUGUACCGUAUGAAUAAGCAUCGGCUAACUCCGUGCCAGCAGCCGCGGUAAUACGGGGGAUGCGAGCGUUAUCCGGAUUUAUUGGGUUUAAAGGGUGCGUAGGCUGUUUGUUAAGUCAGCGGUUAAAGUUUGUGGCUCAACCUUAGAAUGGCCGUUGAAACUGGCAGACUUGAGUGUGAUAGAGGUAUGCGGAAUGCGUGGUGUAGCGGUGAAAUGCAUAGAUAUCGCGCAGAACUCCGAUUGCGAAGGCAGCUUGC
rnacentral:rRNA from 1 species